AAUGUUUGUUUAUAUUUUUUCCAGCCGGCAAAACGUAGCUUUUAGCUUAGCCGUCAGCACAUUCACUUUCGUUUGCACAAGUUGCCAAACAGAGAACUUAUUGAACGAAACUGGUCCGACAGACCGGUCGGCAACUAUUGCAUGUUGCAAUUGCAAAACUGUGCGAUUAAGCUCUAAUGCAACGCUAAAUGUUGCAAAAAUGAAAUGCGAAUGCUUAGACUGCGGUUUGCGCAAAUCACUGCCGCUUCACUUUUGGAUCCGAUUUUAUGCGUCUCGGUGAGCGGCAAACGCGUUGGUUAGACAUGCGAAAACUCGUCAAACUUUUCAGUUGCAACGUAGACAGCAAUAAUUUUCCGCUGCACGAUUGCACAGUGUCCAGUGGCGGGCCUCUUGCUUGCUGCGGCAGAGAUAGCAGCAGGUGUGAUGAAUCAACUGUCGUUGCUGCUAAUGCAAUGCUAACUGAAUUUGCCGACACGAUAAUUGCAUACCUGGAUGUGUUGCAAGUAAUUGCUGUGCGGUAUUGCAACUGUUUACCUAUGCGCGCUUUACACUGACCUUGCCCAACGUCAGCGAUGACCAACUCCAAUUAGUGUCUCUUUUCAUCAGAAACAAGACCAGUGUUCUCGGCAUAAAGAGAUGAAAGUUAGAGCGGCAGAAGAAUGCAGUGAGCUUAUGCUGAAGUUAGCAUAGCUUGAUUAAGGAACCGGUGGGUAAAUAUGUAAGUGCUAAUUUGGUUAUGCUUCUGAAAGCGAAUAAGCGCGUGAAUUAUGCAUUUACCAUAUGAACAUAUAUGAAGUGAAAGCAAAUAGAGAAAUGAAGAAAUGAAGCUAAGACCUUACCAUGAAUCUGAUAGAAUACAUAUACAUUUUAUUGCUGCGAACUUGGUUCCAUGAAGUCUCAUUAAUCACAGCCACUAACAGCACUCUUUUUAAAGUGCACUUGAAGGUGACAGGUGUUUAAUCGCCUAUCUCAUGUAAUUUAUUUAUACAUUCAUAUUUUUUCGUGUCGUGUAUGUAAGUAAGUAAUUUGCAUGCGAGCAUUAGUUAAACAAUAUUAACUGUUAAAUAAUUCUGUUCAUAUUUAUUCUAUACAUCAAAAUAAAUGGAGUUAUAAUAAUAA